rnacentral:rRNA from 1 species
UAAAUUUUAGACUAUAACUAUUUUUUUUAAAAAAACCUUUAAAACAAAUACCCGAGAACUAAAACAAGAAAUCUUUCUAAGUACUUUUAAGGAAACAGAAAUUGAAAAAAGUAACUAUUAUGUACCUUGUGCAUCAUGAUUUUACAACAAUAAAAAUAUCUUUACCCCCGAAACUUAAGUGAGCUACGGAGAGCCCCGUUAAGAACUAAGCUUAUAUUGUUGCAAUAAUAUAGCUAGAGGCCUUCAUAGAAGUAAAAUGCCACGCACUAAGUAAUAGCUGGUUUUCAUUAUAAGCACCUAAGUGUUAUUAACAAUACUGUUAAACUAGAUAACUCAGGAUAAGCUGAAUUAUCUAAAUUCAAGAAUUACUAAUUUAAUAAUUUAUAAAGGCUUAGAACCUGCCUUAUAAGCCCCGUUAUAGGGCCUAUUAAUAAAUACUAAUAUAAUUAAAAUUAUUCUAAACACAUUAAUUGAAUUUUAUAAAAAAUAUCUUUAUAAAAAAUAAUGUAAAAAUCAGUAUUGAAUCUGCGGUAAACUUACUAAAACUAUUUAUUCGUUUCAGACCUCCACACUUAUCUUAAAGGAAUUCGGCAAAUACAUCAAGCCUCGCCUGUUUAACAAAAACAUCGCCUUUUGGUAGCACUAUAAAAGGUCCUGCCUGCCCAGUGACUUUAAGUUUAACGGCCGCGGUACCCUGACCGUGCAAAGGUAGCAUAAUCAUUUGCCCUAUAAUUGAGGGCUCGUAUGAAAGGCAAGACGAAGGCUUAGCUGUCUCUAAGAUAAACAAAAAGUUAUGCUUUAAGUGAAGACACUUAAAUAAAAACAGAGGACAAGAAGACCCUAUAGAGCUUUACUGAUACAGAAAUUUAUCAUAAAAAUUAAAACACCUAAUUUCCUAAAGCAGUUUGGUUGGGGCGACCAAGGAACACUAUAACUUCCUAAAAAAUUAUAUACUUAUUAGUAAAAUAUAUGACCCAUUAUUAUGAACAACAGACUAAGCUACCUUAGGGAUAACAGCGUAAUCUUCUUUAAGAGUUCAUAUCUACAAGAAGGGUUGCGACCUCGAUGUUGGACUAGGAUACCCAGAAGGUGCAGCAGCUUUCAAAGGUGGGUCUGUUCGACCUUUAAAAUCCUACAUGAUCUGAGUUCAGACCGGCGUAAGCCAGGUUAGAUUCUAUCCUUGUUUAAGCAAAUUUAUUUUCUAGUACGAAAGGACCGAAAAAUAACAGAACUAUCUGUAACAGUUGAAACUAAAUAAAUUUUAAAUUAACCUUUUAAAGAU